GCUCCCGUACCAUAAAAGGAUAAUGGAACUGACUUCUAAUCAGUAAGCCAAACGAAGGCGAGUAUGCGGGUUCGAGUCCUGCCGGGAGUGCCA
rnacentral:tRNA from 1 species